rnacentral:rRNA from 1 species
CCCGAUAGACCUUACCAACCCUUGCCAAUUCAGCCUAUAUACCGCCAUCUUCAGCAAACCCUAAAAAGGAACAAUAGUAAGCACAAUCAUAACACAUAAAAACGUUAGGUCAAGGUGUAGCUUAUGGGUUGGAAANAAAUGGGCUACAUUUUCUACAUAAGAACACCCACCAUACNAAAGUUUUUAUGAAANUNAAAACCAAAGGAGGAUUUAGCAGUAAAUCAAGAAUAGAGUGCUUGAUUGAAUNAGGCCAUGAAGNNCGNACACUCCGCCCGUCACC